AGAAAAACCGCCGUCCCACUGAAAAGACAGAGGAUGAACCCAAAGAACAAAAAAAGUCUCCAAAAACAGUUCCACGUGAAGACUUUGAGAAAAUCGAGUCCCUGAAUGUGAUUGUUAAGGAUAUAUGGCAUCUUCUUUCCAAAUACGUGGAAAAGAUGAUUCGAGAGAGGAUUCAGCCUGACAUACGCGCCAAAAGCAAUUAUCUUGCCUCGUUCCGUUUCAUCAAUAUCGAUUUUGGCACGAAGGUAAUGAUCUCUUUCUGUACUUGGGUUAUUCCUCUUCUUGUAAAUAGAUUUCUUGUAACACCCCAAUCUUUAUGCUCAGCCCCCACAGGUAAAGUCUUGGAAAACUCAUGCGGAUCCAGAAAAAAAGCAAAUAAUGUUGGAUCUCGAUAUCAGUUAUAAUGCCGACAUAAAGGUGGAUGCUGGUUUUACGGAAAA